AACGAACGCUGGCGGCAUGCCUAACACAUGCAAGUCGAACGAGACCUUCGGGUCUAGUGGCGCACGGGUGCGUAACGCGUGGGAACCUGCCCUUAGGUUCGGAAUAACUCCCCGAAAGGGGUGCUAAUACCGGAUAAUGUCUUCGGACCAAAGAUUUAUCGCCUUUGGAUGGGCCCGCGUUGGAUUAGCUAGUUGGUAGGGUAAAAGCCUACCAAGGUGACGAUCCAUAGCUGGUCUGAGAGGAUGAUCAGCCACACUGGGACUGAGACACGGCCCAGACUCCGACGGGAGGGAGCAGGAGGGAAUAUUGGACAAUGGACGAAAGCCUGAUCCAGCAAUGCCGCGUGAGUGAUGAAGGCCUUAGGGUUGUAAAGCUCUUUUACCCGGGAUGAUAAUGACAGUACCGGGAGAAUAAGCUCCGGCUAACUCCGUG
rnacentral:rRNA from 1 species